GAUGUUUAAAAGCACAUAGAAGGAAGGUAGAAAACAACAACAGCAAAACUUAAAGAGAAAGACAACUUUGCAUCCGAUGUCAAAUUGACGCAAUAUACUAACAAUAAUACAUUACUUUUGCCCUACUUGUCGUUCUAUGCAUCUUUUAAUUUAUGUGGUUACCUCGAUAGCCAAGCGCGAUAUGUUGCCGAUGCAGCUUAGGAUCUAGAUGAGGCAAUGGCUCCUUUGGUUUUCAUAAGAGGGCAAGAAUCACCAGCGCAUUCAGGAAUAAAUGAGUUCAACUAUCUAUGGCUCAGGAAAGCACAAUAUAUUUGUAAUAUUUUUGAUGGAGUGUUACACCAAAAACGAAGGAACGCAAUAUUUAACCUCAUUCACAAGAAGUGACUAACAAGAAUAACAAUAUUCACAAGAAGUGAACCUAAGAAGUGCAAUCAAUUCAUGUGAAAAUCACUAACAUCGGAAAUUUUUUCUGCAGGAGUAGUGCUGCAACCAAAAUCUGUCGCUUGUUCGGCCUUCGUUGUUUUUCAGCAGCUAUCACAGAUUUUGUUCUAAGCUGCGUGGUCAUCCAGCAGUGCAACGCUUCAUGAAACAAGCAGCACCAAAUGGAUGGCUUCCUGGGGAUGGAAUUUACUGCGCGGCCCAAGUGAUUCCCUGUGCAGUCAUUGACGAUGGGCGCCUCAUUGCCAUGCUACGCGCGUUUAUGUUGUGUGAAAACAACAUAAACACUUCAAGUUCAAUGAAAAAUCCAAAAAUAAAAACUCGGCUAGAUGA